UAGUUUACUAUAACUGUCAGCUAAGUGGCGCACGGGUGAGUAAUAUAUAGGUAACGUGCCCUAGAGAGGGGGAUAACAUUUGGAAACGAAUGCUAAUACCCCAUAUGCCUUUAAGUCUUAAGACUGCAAGGGAAAUAUUUAUAGCUCUAGGAUCGGCCUGUACGGUAUCAGUUUGUUGGUGAGGUAAUGGCUCACCAAGACUAUGACGCCUAACUGGUUUGAGAGGAUGAUCAGUCACACUGGAACUGAGACACGGUCCAGACUCCUACGGGAGGCAGCAGUGGGGAAUAUUGCACAAUGGACGAAAGUCUGAUGCAGCAACGCCGCGUGGAGGAUGACACAUUUCGGUGCGUAAACUCCUUUUAUAUAGGAAGAUAAUGACGGUACUAUAUGAAUAAGCACCGGCUAACUCCGUGCCAGCAGCCGCGGUAAUACGGAGGGUGCAAGCGUUACUCGGAAUCACUGGGCGUAAAGAGCGUGUAGGCGGGUUUGUAAGUUUGAAGUGAAAUCCAAUGGCUCAACCAUUGAACUGCUUUGAAAACUGCUUACCUAGAAUAUGGGAGAGGUAGAUGGAAUUUCUGGUGUAGGGGUAAAAUCCGUAGAGAUCAGAAGGAAUACCGAUUGCGAAGGCGAUCUACUGGAACAUUAUU
rnacentral:rRNA from 1 species